UACGUAGGGUGCGAGCGUUAAUCGGAAUUACUGGGCGUAAAGCGUGCGCAGGCGGUUUUGUAAGCCAGAUGUGAAAUCCCCGGGCUUAACCUGGGAAUGGCAUUUGGGACUGCAAGGCUGGAGUGCGGCAGAGGAGACUGGAAUUCCUGGUGUAGCAGUGAAAUGCGUAGAUAUCAGGAGGAAUACCGAUGGCGAAGGCAGGUCUCUGGGCUGACACUGACGCUCAUGCACGAAAGCGUGGGGAGCAAACAGGAUUAGAAACCCGACGUG
rnacentral:rRNA from 1 species